rnacentral:rRNA from 1 species
UGGGGAAUAUUGGACAAUGGGCGCAAGCCUGAUCCAGCCAUGCCGCGUGAGUGAAGAAGGCCCUAGGGUUGUAAAGCUCUUUCGGCGGGGAAGAUGAUGACGGUACCCGCAGAAGAAGCCCCGGCUAACUCCGUGCCAGCAGCCGCGGUAAUACGGAGGGGGCUAGCGUUGCUCGGAAUUACUGGGCGUAAAGGGCGCGUAGGCGGAUUUUCAAGUCAGGCGUGAAAGCCCCGGGCUUAACCUGGGAACUGCGCUUGAUACUGGAAGUCUAGAGUUCGGAAGAGGGUGGUGGAAUUCCCAGUGUAGAGGUGAAAUUCGUAGAUAUUGGGAAGAACACCAGUGGCGAAGGCGGCCACCUGGUCCGAUACUGACGCUGAGGCGCGAAAGCGUGGGGAGCAAACAGGAUUAGAUACCCCCGUAGUCC